GGAGAGAUGUCCGAGCGGCCGAAGGAGCACGAUUGGAAGUCGUGUGUGCCCUAAAAGGUACCGUGGGUUCAAAUCCCACUCUCUCCG
rnacentral:tRNA from 1 species